rnacentral:rRNA from 1 species
UACGGAGGGGGCUAGCGUUGUUCGGAAUUACUGGGCGUAAAGCGCACGUAGGCGGAUCAGAAAGUCAGAGGUGAAAUCCCAGGGCUCAACCUUGGAACUGCCUUUGAAACUCCUGAUCUUGAGGUCGAGAGAGGUGAGUGGAAUUCCGAGUGUAGAGGUGAAAUUCGUAGAGAUUCGGAGGAACACAAGUGGCGAAGGCGGCUCACUGGCUCGAUACUGACGCUGAGGUGCGAAAGAGUGGGGAGCAAACAGG